rnacentral:rRNA from 1 species
UACGUAGGGUGCAAGCGUUAAUCGGAAUUACUGGGCGUAAAGCGUGCGCAGGCGGCUAUGCAAGACAGAUGUGAAAUCCCCGGGCUCAACCUGGGAACUGCAUUUGUGACUGCAUGGCUAGAGUACGGCAGAGGGGGAUGGAAUUCCGCGUGUAGCAGUGAAAUGCGUAGAUAUGCGGAGGAACACCGAUGGCGAGGGCAAUCCCCUGGGCCUGUACUGACGCUCAUGCACGAGAGCGUGGGGAGCAAACAGG